AUGCAAAGAACUUUGAAAAGAGAGUUAAAGAGUACCUGAAACUGCUGAAACGGAAGCGAAGGAAACCAGUGUUUGUUUGUUCAUAUUUCCCUGGCCACUUGUGGUUUGGGCGCUGUGAGCUUGCGUGAGUUUGGGUUGGUUGAUCCCUUUGGAAGAGCGCAGUCAGAGUUGAUGUCUGUUGCUAGCACUGGGUUUGACUGAUGCAGACGAAAUGGUUUUCUUUACCCCGUCUUGAAACACGGACCAAGGAGUCUAACAUAUGUGCGAGUACAGGGGUGUCAAACCCCGGUGCGUAAUGAAAGUGACAGUGGUUGGAAUUUUGCACAAUCCGCCGGCCUCAAUCCUUCGGGAGAACGGUCUGAGUGUGAGCAUACAUGUUGGGACCCGAAAGAUGGUGAACUAUGCCUGAAUAGGGUGAAGCCAGGGGAAACUCUGGUGGAGGCUCGUAGCGAUUCUGACGUGCAAAUCGAUCGUCAAAUUUGGGUAUAGGGGCGAAAGACUAAUCGAACCAUCUAGUAGCUGGUUCCCUCCGAAAUUUCCCUCAGGAUAGCUGCAAUCGAUUUCAAUUUUAUCA
rnacentral:rRNA from 1 species